rnacentral:rRNA from 1 species
CUGGCGGUAUGCUUAACACAUGCAAGUCGAACGGAUGUUUUCGGACAUUAGUGGCGGACGGGUGAGUAACGCGUGAGAAUCUAGCUUCAGGUUGGGGACAACAGUUGGAAACGACUGCUAAUACCGGAUGAUGACGUAAGUCCAAAGAUUUAUCGCCCAAGGAUGAGCCCGCGUAGGAUUAGCUAGUUGGUGGGGUAAAGGCCUACCAAGGCGACGAUCUGUAGCGGGUCUGAGAGGAUGAUCCGCCACACUGGGACUGAGACACGGCCCAGACUCCUAC